GAGGAUUUUCAGCCUAUCAUCUAGUAUCUCCUUUUUCCAUUUCAUCGCAGUAUGGCUGAGGGUUUCAACAACGUAAGCAUAACUUCUGCUAAUAGCUGCAUUAGUUUUGGUUUGAGCCUCCCAUCUUGUGUCUGAUAUGUGUUUAGGAACUUUUGACUCAAGAGACAAGAAUUUUUUUAGCACUGCCCAACUAUCUAUAAAAGCUGAGGAAAAUCAAUUAAGCUCAUUUAUUGUGUGUGUGUGUGUGUGUGUGUGUGUGUGAAUCACUGCAUCCAGGCACGAGUCAACUGUGGUACAUUCAACUAGAUUUAGCGAAUGUCCAGCCAUGGAAUAAACUUUGCUAACUUGUUCCUUUCCAGAAUGUUUUUGUUGACUGCUGCCAUACUUUCCAGCCAUAUUUGCUCUAUUGCCAUAUGGUUUUCCUCUACAUUUACUGACAUCUGUUUCAAGGUCACUGAAGCAGCUCAGUCAUACUUUCACCAGUGUGAUCUUUCAGUUAAAAAAAACACACCUCAGAAACUAUUCAACUGGUAAUCCAUCACUAGGAGAAAUAUAUCUAACAAUGAUCAACACAGGAAACAUCAGGAGUUGAAUCGACUAAUAAACUAAACUAAAAUAACUUGCCUGUUUGAUGUUGCUCAGUAUUGCUUCUCAAAUUGUAUCAGCCAUCAACUAGAUAAUGUCUUCACAUAUGGUUUUGGAUAAGUUGACUAAAACCUUUACUUCCACACUGAUUUUUGUGAGCACACAGGAAGGGACCAAAUGUUUCAUCAUUUCCCUUGGAGAGAGAAGCUUGGCAUCUUAACACUACAAUUGCAUGGGUCAACCUUUAGACUGCUUGACAUAUUCAACUGUGUCAUUACCCUCUUAUAUCUUGCAUAAACCUAGAUCUGGAAACUUCAGAUAGAGACAUUCCUCUUCUCUGGGAAUCACUUUAUUGAAAUGCUAAGCACAAUUAUUUCAAGUGUUUAAGACUAACAACAACUUCCAAAGUUUUGUAAUUAAAGGAAUGGGUACCACUUCAUUUGCUAUUCCUCUGUGUUAAUUUUGAGAGCAGCAUAGAAUUUAUUAGCAAAUAUAUUAAAAUAAUACAGCACAGAUUACAAUCUGGAAAAAGAGGGGAACUAAUUUUUCUGAGACCUUUUGUCUGUGAUUUUUGUCUGAUCAGUAACUUUGCUACUAUGUGGAGGAUUAUAUGUAUUUAUGAUUAAAUCAAUAGCUCUAAAAUUGAAAAGUGCUCAACAACUGAGAAUAGCAAUGUAAAUCACAGCAGAGGCUAUUUCAUUUCAUGGUGAAAAACAGUAAAAAUCUAUGUCAAAGUUUAAUACAGAAUAGAUCAUGAUAUAUUUAUGUGGAAUGAAAAGCAAAGAAAUCAUUUGAAAUAUUUGUCUUAUUGGGAGUAUAAUUAGGAAAGAAAAUUGGAUCACUGGAAGAUCUUUAGAAAAGGUAAGUGCAAAAUGCAUUUUAAAAAAAUGAACAAAUGAAUGAGUCUGAGAUAAAGGGCAGAAUUUAGGGUUUAUCAUUAGCUUAGAUUUGGAGCAGAAUCCUAUUCUUUCCUAAUACCACCAUAGGAAAGGACACUGUAAGAUUCAGGAAAAUUGAGAUCAAGUGAUCUAAGCAUGAUCUGUUAGCAUUAGCAUGAGUCAGUAUGUUGUCCCGAGGCAGCUAAUUGGAAGCUGUGUUGCAUCAACACCAGACAAUUAUAAUUAUGCAGCCAUGCCAGUCUAUUAAGAUAGCUACUUAGAACCAAGUUUUAAAAAUGUGCAGGGAAAGAGGCAAAUUAUUCAUUAUCCUCAGAUGGAGAUGACAACUUGUGCUUACAAAAAGCAUGGAUCGGAAGUAAAAGCAUACCAUGUCCAUUGCUUGGUUCUACAGAGCCCCCGUUUUUACCAUUCACUUACUGGCUAUAAGAUAGGAGUGCAACUAGCCCAGAAAUCAAGCACAGAACAACGCAGUGCAGACAUAAGCUGCAGCAAAGCAUUACAGCUCAUUCCCCAAGACUUUGGACUCCCAUGCCUGAGGAGCAAUAAUUAUUCAAGAGCAGAGGAAGAAAGCCGUGACUGGAAACAAAUGAAAGAGCACAAAGUGCUUGGCAGAAGCAGAAUGCUUGCAAAAACAAUAACAUCUAACCAAGGACAACAGAGCACCACAGAAUAUUUGAAGUGAGCCAUACCCACCAAUGGAGCACAUGAAACUCAGAGUGGUGGGGGAGGGGACUGUGAGCUUUCUCCUUUAGAAAUUAAGUCAACAGGAUGAAAACAAGCAGUGCAAAGACAGAAACGGGCAUGUUAAGUGCCCUGAUAUGAAAUAGCUCAGUCAGUAGAGCAUGAGACUCUUACUCUCUCUCUUUUUUUUAAAUGAUAUUUAUUGAGAAUUUUAAAAUUACAAAAAAAACAAAGAGAAAAAGAAGGAAAAACAGGAAAAAAAGACAAAUAGCAAUUAAACAAUACAAAUCGAUAAAAAUCAAAAUCAAAAAACAAAAACAAAACACAUAGCACAUCAAAAUCAAAAAGCAAAAAUAAACCACAAAAAUUUAAAAACAGAUCCAAUAUUCCCAAAUUCUUAACUGUCAUUACCUUAUUUCAUUGACCUCCUCACACCUCCCUUUUAUGUAUACUAGUUGUUGAUUAUCACAGCAAAUCCUUUCCAUUUUUCAUACUAUUCUGUCAUUAAAUUACCUUAAUCUAUUUUAACCUUAUCUUACCAUAAAAAACCCUAAAACUUAAAACUUAAAUCUUAUUUAUACCAAUUUCUCAUAACCAUAGCAUAUUCUUACAUAGUUCUUUUUAACAUUUCUGCUAAAGCCAAAUAAUUUCGUUCCAACAUUUUUCUAAUACUCAUUAAUUUUACAAAACAUUCCUAAGUAGAAUUUUUGAAACUUUCUUCCAAUCUUCAUCCAACGUCUCUUCCUCCUGGUCUCGGGUUUUGUCAGUCCUUUCUAUCCCAUCCAUCUAGUUCAUUAACCUGGUAACCUUAUGUCUGAGGCCCUUAAGUCUCUUCCAUGUCCCUUCCGCAGAUCUUCUUCAUAUUUAUACCUGUACUUUACUUUGUCUUCUGCUCCUUUCACUCGUGGAGACUCCAGCUUGACAAUAUUACUCUCUUACUCUCAGGACUGUGGGUUCGUCCCCACAUUGCAGGGGCUUGGACUAGAUGACCCUUCUGGUCCCUUCCAACUCUACAAUCCUAUGAUUCUAUGAAAGUGAGGACUACAAUAUCAUAAUCAUAGCAUAUUAAGCUAGCCAAUAUAUUCAACAAUCCCCAUUUAUAUAUCACUUACUAUUCACGGAUCUUGGAUUUACAUUGAAAAUUCAAAAACAUUAUCAACAUAUACAGACAUAUAAUAAGCACAAUUCCAGAUGAUUUGCCUUAAGAAAAAUCAAAACACAUAAACACACAACAACCCCAACAACUAUAUUAAAAAGCAUCAUGUCUGAAUGAGGCAUAUACUUCUUUCAAAGCAGCUUUAUACAUCCAUUUUCGACUAACAUGCAAAGCUUUUGAAUCCAUAGGUGCCCUGUUCUGUUCAAUGGCAUUAAUAGAUAAUGUUUUGUAAAAAUGAAGAAUUUUCUCUUACACAAAAUACAAUGUGAAGUUCCUCUGUGUGCAAGACCACAAAUCACAUGGUGUAUCUUAUCAUAACCUGUCCUACAAUAUUACGGUGAUGAUGUACUUGUGAAGAUCAACUGUGUUUGGACAAGGCAAGCAGAUAAAUAGGUACCGCUGAGGUGGGAAGGUAAGUGGCAUUUCUGUGUGCUCUGGUUUCCGUCACGGUGUUCUGUUGCGCCAGAAGCGGUUUAGUCCUGCUGGCCACAAGACCCGGAAAACUGUCUUGGACAAAUGCCAGCUCCCUCAGCCUGCAGUGAGAUGAGCACCACACCCCAUAAUUGCCUUUGACUGGACUUAACUGUCCAGGGGUCCUUUACAUUUACCUUUACCUAGAUGCCAUCACUCCCAUGGUGCUGUUCAUCUCAGUAAUGAAAUAUGUUGGGUCUGAUAACAACAUUCUAUCUGUAUGGGUUUGCAAAUAAGUGCUGCCAGGAUAGAAGCACAUAGAACUCCCAUGUACUAUGAUUCUAUACUCUCUCUUGAAAGACCUUAUUUUCAUUUCUAUGUCUGUGGCCGUACAUUUCCUCUUGACAUGUCAUCUCACCUUGUUCUAUUUUCUUAUUAUCUAUUUCCUCUGAUUAGAUAAACGGAAGAUACUUCUCUCUUUUCCCCCAAGUCAUUUAGGCUGCACUUCUGUUGGCCUUGAGAAGAUGUCCUAGGAGCCAUAAGACAGAGGUUGACUUUCAGAGAAUGUGAACUGACCUCAUGGGGCCCCUCCCUAUCACUGCAGGGACCUUUUCAGGGACCCUUGCCCUCCUGAUGUCAAAGCUUCAGUGGUGUCAGAGGCAAAAAGGAACUGAGCAGGCCAGGGAUGGGUCAGGGGAAGAAUCAAUAGCCUUCCCAUGCUCCAGUGACAAAGCUUAGUGUGUGCAACCCCCACUCUCUCUGCUUGUGUGUCAGUCCCACAAGGGAACAGAACACCCAAAUGGGGCUCAUGAAAGUCUAAGACAACAGUAGACAGACUGGACCAUCACAGUCACCUUUUCCACAGUGUGAGCAAUGGAAAACAAUGGAACACAAUGGGAAAAAGAAGAAAUAACCAAAUGAUUACAGAAUCUGUUGUACUUCCCCUUAUUCUUUCAGUUGUGAAGAAGAGGGAUGAAAGAUUAAGGGUAAUGUUUCUGUCACAAUGUACAGCUGCAGAUGUUGCUGGUAAAUACAGAAUGCCUUGGCUUAAUUUUCCUUUGGCUUUUGUUCAUUUGUGUCUCAACCUUAGUAUUAUUUUUCAAUACAAUGCUCAAUUAUAUUUGCCCAAAGAACAGCUUUAUGGAUUUUUUUCCAUUGUCUUCACAUGAAAAGCCAAAAUCGUUUGUGACAUCAAGACAAUAACUCAGCAAGAAACCAAAAUACUACAAUGGUUUGUUAGCUACCAAUGAGCAGGAGGGAGGGAGGAGAAUUUCUCGUUUAACAACAGAGAGCAAUAAUCUUUUACUGAAUUUUGAUAAACAUAACAACAUAAAGGAAGAAAGUACAAGGCUGGUAUGCUGCUCCACAUAUGAUGGGAUGUAGAACAUUGUGAUGUGGCACGUACACAAGUAUGUUUCUGUAUGCAAGAAAUGUUGAGUGCAACAUGGGGCGUACACAGGGCUCAGAUGAAAUGAUGGAAUUCUGAUCAAAGCUUUCCCACUCUGUGAAAAGUGAAUUUUGGGGCACUAUACACAGGGAGAAAAGCAUUAACCCAUUCAGGGUGAGGACAAAGUUUCAUGCUCUCACUCUGAAGUGCCUAUGUGGUAUCAUUCAGAGGAGACCCAUUGAAAUUAAUGGACCCAAGUUAGUCAUGUCCAUUAACUUCAGAGAUGGAUUUACUCUGAGUAGCAUUGGAUACAACUUUAUGUAGCCGGACAGAUUUGAAUAGGUAGCAUCAUGAUAUCACAUUCGUUCUAUGAUUCUUGACAGGUUGAGAAUAAACAGCGAAGGAGAAGAAACCCUGGAAAAUGGUGUCAAAGUAGCAGCAGAGAAGGGAAAACACUGGUUGCAACUCAGAAAAGGCUUUUGAGGCACAUUUUGUAUUCCUGAAAAUGUUAUUUCCAUGCCAAUAAUAUUCACAAGUUAAAACACAGCAUAGGGUGGGCAAAUAAAUUCAGGGUUUUGUAUGUGCAGGAGAGACUCUUCAUGCAUACUUUUUGUUGUGAUGUGGAAUAUAAGGAGGCUUGAUGAAUUCAUUUUUUUCCUUAUUCUGGUGUGAACCAACCACCCAGACUAAUAUGUGGAUCAUCACAUAAGUUACCUUUUCAGCUUUUGCACCUUUCCAAAUUCUGCAAUGUUAUCAGCUCAAAAACACACCGAGUACAUUUUAAAAUGUAUAUUUUAAGAUUGAAAAAUAUAUAUAGAAACGUGUAUUUUGUGAAAACAUAAAUGUUCAUGCAGACUCCCCCCCACAAAAAAAUGCAGAUUAAGGUGGGAACAGCACAUGACAGAAUGAUGAUGAAUGAACACAUGUGGAAGUGGCUAGAGAAAGACAGACCCAUCCAUCCCCAUUGAAAGGGGCUUCAGAUUUUAAUCUUGGAAUCAGCUCUAGAUACAACAUUGCCCUUAGGCAAUGUGUGCGGUUAUAUAUGAGGCUUCAUCUGAACUGUACAGAUUCAGCCCAUCACCUCAGUUUCCAUCUGGUCUCAAUGCAUAGAUAAGUAAGAAUGGAUCUCCCUCUUCUCUUCCCCUUUGCCCAUUGCCCUGAUUUCAGAUUCAUGUCCAAAGCAUAGGUUGUUGCCUUCUAGAAAACCCCUUGCACUAGCCAUGUCCAUUUCUAUAGCACCUAUAUAGCCACUAGCUGCAUCAUUGUUAGUGAGAAUGGCAGAAAAUUAUUCAAGACUGCAUGGAAAUCAGGCUGUGUGAAAGCCCAGUAACAUUUUUAAUUAAUCCCGCCAAGCUCUCUGGUGUACGGUAUUAGCAAGUCUAAAUGGAAGGAGAUCAACCUACUAAUUACUGAAGCCUGUUAACUGUGCCUGGGCUUGUAAACCAACCUCAUGCAGCCAGAUGCAUCUUCUGGGCAAAGGGGACAUUAAUUCUUUUCUUUUGGCAAGUCAUGUGCAGCGGUAAAAGAAACCGAGAUUGAAGUGGGAGUUCCUCUUACCUUCACUGUUUUUUAGUUUUUUUGGAAACGACACUCUGAAACUAGAUUACCUGAUUUGCUUGCUUGCCUCCAAUAACAAAUUCAACAUUAACUAAUGAGCAUGUACACACUUAUACCAAGGACAUACCUAUGGGUUUGUUCAUUUGGGGCUUGAUUAGAUUUAUGCAGUACAUUGGAUCCUUGCAGUCCAUAUAUGCAAGAGGAUUCAGAUCAUGCUCUCGCUCCCCACUGCCCAGCAGCCCAAUACACACAAUGCACAGAGAUGAUUGCAAGCUGUCAGAUUUAACUUUCCCAGCUCUGUGAGUCUUGGCAAAAUAGAUCUCAUUGACAUUUUGCCUCUGGGAGAUUUGCUAGAUGACAGGUGGGCUGAGCUUUGGCUUGUCAUGCCUGGAGCCAAGGUUGUAACCGCUAAGGAGUAUUCAACAUUGUACCAGCAAGGCUGCCAAGAACUGAACUUUUUAGAACAGGAAAAGGUAUGAUCAGCCCUCCAUGAUGAUAGGCCUCACUGUGCAUGCAUCAAUUUCACAGUGAAGAGUGUUUAUGGUGCCUAGAAUCCUAUGUGACGUUGCAGAUAAUUCACAUUCCCUGCUGCAGUUCGGAGUCCUGACUGCAAUCCCUGCACAAGCAGCUCUUACACACUGGGAGCUCAUGCUGAUGAUUCAAACAGACACAGGUGCCUCUUUCUGUGCUGUCGUUUUACUGCUUCCCAUUGAAAUGGAAAGGGCAGUCCCUCCCAGAUGGGAGAGUUCCAUUUGUGCAUUAGAGGAUCUGACCCCAUAAGCAUUUAUUAGAUUGUGGUUCAUGUCCUUAAAACCAAAAUCUAUUCUCAUUCUGCAUACAUAGUAUACAGCUAUGCAAGGCACAUACAGUAGAAUGCUUCCCACAAAAAUGAAAGGCGUUUGUUUUCCACAGGCCUCUGGGAUUUGUACCUCUGUGAUGACUGUGAGAUGAAUGUGUGAUACAGGAGAUUGAGUCCACUGCUGUAAUGCAGUUCUACUCGAUUCCUUAUUAUUCAGUCUAAAGAGUACAAUAACACAUCCCUUUGGAGUGGGUGGGUGGGGAGUACAAUUAGACAGGUGCUGUAGCAUCUGCGGAGCAAGAGGUUUAAGUGUAAAUACGUCAUGGUAAUCAUUUGGCACAAGAAAAAUGGGGAUGUGUUUGUAAUUGCAUUUGUUGAUGAUCAAGGAGUUUCUCCUGGAGGAGUAAUUUUAGCCUUUCAUGAUGGAACUGAGAAAGGCAGUUUCACACAGCAAGCUCACACAGAUGCUGGGAGGAAAUGCACAUUAAAGAUCUGGUUGCAAAUUCAAGACAUCAGAGGGUGACUGAGCAUUUCAUUUCCUCAUGACAUGUAAUUUAGAGCAUCUCCUAAAUAGGUCUUAUUUUUCCCUUAAUGUGGUUGCCAAAACGACAACUGAUCAGGCCUAGCAAUCAAUAUGCCAUUGAUCUUUUUGUUUGUUUCUAGGGUGAUGACCAUGCUGAAUUCCCUACCCCUUAAAGCACCAGAUUUUCCCCAAUUAGUAGGUAGCCCAGUCCCUGACUGACAAACAGUUUGCAUCCACAAGCUCCCAGGGGUUUUGUAGACUGGCUGCUGCCUUAGCGUAAGAUACCAGACUGCUAAUGUUUUCCCCUGAGCCUUGCUGAUAAGAUUUAAAAACACUGAGUUUUUGCUAAUCUCUUGAAUUUGUAAACCAUAUACAAUGCUUUGCUCACACUAUUUGUCUUUCAUCCACAUCUCUGUUCUUGUAUGCAUACCAUGCUGUUAUGUUCAUAAUUUAAGACCUAUUUUAUUAAUUAAUUAUUCAUCAUUUAAGACCUAUUUUAAGACCUAUUAAGACUGAAUGCAUUCAAAAUGGUUAGCCAUCACUGUGUAGGCAAACCGAAUAGCCAUCAGGAGCUAUCAGUCUGAAGAUCUCACCUGCUUCUUCUUCCUAGAAAGAGAGGAGGAUACUUAGAGACUUUUGCCCAAGGAAGUGCUCAGAUUUGAUAUUAGGCUUGGUGGAGGACAGCAGAAGAAACACAGAGUGAGUGAGAGUAUGGGGGAGAUGCUCCCCAUACAGACAUGCCACAUCAACAGAUAUGAAACCUCUGCAUUCCAAACCUUGACCGCCAUUUCCCCCCCCCAAUCAGAGCAAAAAGUAAGUCGAUACCAUUUUUAUUAAAAUAGUACAUUACUUGUUUUUCAUGGAGUGAAGCCAUCAGAAGGGCUGAGGAAGUUUUUUCAGCCUGAAAGCCAUAUUUUCUAGUGAGUCACAUGCCAGGAAACACAUAUCACUGCUCGAAAAAACAAUAAGCAAACACAGGCAGAACAACAGAUGUGACUCUUAGCUUUGUCCAGUAGGCUACAUUCCCAUCAGGCAAAAAUAAGACAUUUCAAUGCACUCUCUCUUUCUCCAUCACCCUCUUUUAUCAUUCACACAGACAAGCUCAAAGACACAUUCCCACAUUCAAUGAGGAUGCAGAGGGUGUGGUCUGAGGAAAGGCCUGAGAGUCAGGUUUGAAAGUCCACAUUUGACACAGGCCAGAGGUUCCCUAGCCUACUGUGGAACAACAUUGGGAAGUGUUCAAACACCACAGGCUAUUUUUUUUUAUAAAAAAGCACAGAAUACAUACUUCUCUGAUAACAUCCUUUCAAUGAAACAGUAGGAGGUAGCCUGCCUGCGCGAAGAUCAAAUGCAGAUCCAAUUCUUAUCACUGAGGCACAAAAACUACAUGUUAUAUAAUGCAAGAUCCCAUAAAAUAUGAAAGAGUAGAAACGACCUUCACAUUUAUGCCAACAGAAUUGAUUUUGGGUGAGUUGAAAAAUUGUUUGAAAGAUCAAAGGGUCAGUGUGAUUGCUGUUAGAGCUUCAGACAAAAGUGCUGGGAUGUCAGCGGGAGGUUUUGGCUCAGUAUGUGCAGCACAACAUGUCUAAAUAAGAUUCAGAGUACAUCUUUUCAGAAUAAUUCCAUCAGAACAGGCAGGUUGCAUAGAAAGUGAUUAGACUGACAAGGGUGCAUAGCUUUGCUUACUGUAUCCAUGCCUCUUAAUGGGCCAUCAAAUGACAGGAAAUUAUGACAGGAAGGCCAAGAGGGAAAUUUAAUUAGAAGGCCAAAUAACUGUAAUCUUUACACAUUACUGUAUUUUUAUUUGCAUGAUGCAUUUGCAGCCUCUCUUCAUUGUAUAAUUAUGCUAACAGAAUCAUUAGCAGCUAAAUGAUUCACAAGAGCAGCCCAAGCUGAUGCAGCUAGUUCUCCUGUUCCAUUAUACAAACAAUUUCUGAGAUCACAACAGUUUCAAGCAUUUUCUAAAUCAUAUAAUGCACAAAAAACUUAUUUUUUAAAAAUGAAAUGAAAUGAAAUAAUCCUCUGCUAGCAGGUUAUACACAUGAGUAGUUUAUAUUUUACAUCUUAGUCUAGGAUGUCUUCUCAAUAAACCAUAAUUGUUAUGAAAAAUUCCAUUUGAGCAAAGCAAUCAACUCACGAAAUCAAGCAAGUGCUAGUGAAAUGGAGCCGGAUUCAUAAUUGAAUCUAUGCUAUAAAUCAUAUUUCCCUUAUCUUUCUGUUGUCUUUUUGACAAUGGCUGAAUAAAGGAAUAUAGAGUUUUAUGAGUUCUGGCAGCUCAUAAACAAAAUUCAGUCUUCUGUCACUGAUGAUUUAACUAAGAACAAAAUACUCAGCCUAGCAGAAUGCGAUUGAGAUAAAUUAAUUUUCUGUCAAAACAGCUUUUGGUCAUGCUUUGAGUUGUUCCAGGUUCUUUGAAUUAUCCUUUCGGAGAAGGCAAGGGAUAUAAAAGGCUUGUGACUGCAAUUUGCUUAUUAUUUUUUCUAAUGCUACAAUAAAUAGUAAGCUACAGUUAUUUUAAUUUAAUGGGUUACUGAAAGUAGGUUGGGGAGCUGAAUGAAAAUGCUCGGAGGGUAUGAAUAAUGGGUACUGAUGUGGGAUCAGUUUCAGUGUUGCGGUCUGAGAACAUGGGCACGAUGCUUGCUGUGGUGAGGUCAACUGAGUGCCUUCCAGAUCCUGGCCUAUAGUAGGAAAGGAUUGACUGGACUGGCCCAGAGAGUGCCCAAGGCUUUGAAAAAAGUCCUUCCUGGAUCCAGAUGUUUUAGAAAACUAUUACCCAGCUUUUAUCAUUCUCUUUCUGGACGAGGUGAUGGAGACGAUGGUGGUCAGCCAGGUGCAGGUACUCCUGGAGAUUAGACCCAUUGCAAUUUGGCUUCUACGCUUCCCAACCAAAUAAAACACAGACAAAAAAAAGAGGAGGCCAUCACCACCCUCCCCUCAAACAGGAAUUUCCUCCAACCAAGAAGCAGCCAAAAAUUCCCCUUAAAAAUAAAAAAAUAGAACAUUUGAGGAGCAGGAGACCUUGACAAGUCCAAAUGGGUGUGUCCAAGGGUGCCAUAGGGCCCUUGGGUGCCAUAUUGGGGACCACAGCUCUAGAGCAUUCAUAUCAGGAAAGAUACAGAUCUUUUGCUUUAAUUCUUAUUUAUUCUGUGUAUUGGAACUGCUGUUAUAUAUACACACCACCCUGGCAAUGGCCUUAUACCAGUUCUCUCUGAUUGCUAUAUUUAUAAAGAACUUGUCAUUUUUAUUCCAAAGACUUAUCAUAUUCCUCCUAGAAAUAUUUCUUCCUCUUUUUGUGCCCAUUUUACUAACGUGCUCUGGCUUCAUCCUUCAACAAUAAUAGUUUAUAAAAGGUUGCUAAUGAUUUGUAUUUUAUUUUUCGUUUUCCAAAUUUGGUCAUCUCACAUAUUUGUUGACUUGCUCUUCUGCUCCAAAAGGGCUUCUUCUGUUCAGAGAAAUUAAUACGACUCAGUGGAGGCUCCUAAUGAGAAAGACAGUUUUCAUUCUCCGUUCCCUUGUCCCCCAACCUUCCAUAACAAAUUGUCAGGGAACAUAUGAGGAAGGGGAAGGAGGAAUAGGAAAAAAAAUAGCUGUCCCUCUUUCCCAUGAAUAGAGUUCUGCUCAUUGAAAGUCUGGACUGAACCCAGUAAAAACUGCUCUGAAACCUAAAAGGGGGGGGGGGAUCUUGAAGACAAUUAAAAGUAAAGCAUGAAUGAAAAAGAUGGAUUUUAAUAGAAGCCUAAAAUAUAUCAAUGAUGACACGAAAUGAACAUGUUGGUCUCUGCUUGUACCAAGGCUGAGAGGAAAUUGCUAUCUUUUAUUCCCUUGAAUUUAAUGAGAGAAUAAGGAGGAGAAUGCUACUGUACUCCAUCUGUCAGGAAAACAGAAGCAGUUACUAUCUGCACUUUUUCAAGUACAAAGGAAAAAAGAAACAAACUACUGGUAAAUGGUCCUGCACUGGGCUAUUGCAGUUUCCUGAGUGAAAACUCUCCAGGGUUAGAGCUACAUUUAGCAGUAGCUUCAGCAGAAUAUAGGGAUGGGGAAUAAAUGCAAUUCAGUUCACAAUUUGAGGUGAACCUCCCUAAGUUGGAAGAAUACCCAGCCAUCCUUUGAAACUCACUUCUUCAUUGAAUUUUGCAAAUCAUUUCUUCAACCAAGUACUGUGUACAUGAAUGCAUAUAACUAGGACAAAGUGUGCAUAUAAAUUCAUAUAUUAGUGAAUAUAAUAGAGAAAAUGCAUUAGGGAAAAUUGUUUACCAAAAUGUGUCUAUUAGGAGAAGUUCACACUAAAAUGCUGUUGAAUUUUCAUGAGGACUUAAAAAAAAAUAUUCACAAACUGAAAUGGAAAAGUGGAGAACUGAAUUUAAGAUUGAAUAAAUGAUAAACCAAUGGAAGCUGAAAUUGUCAAUUUGCCCAUCCUGAGCUGAAAAUACAUUGAAUAAAUUGACGGGACAAUGUACCAAGUGUUGCCUGUGUGGUUGGAGUGGAGAUACCUUAUGACCAAGACCCCAUGUACAACCUUCUGUUGCCUAUGAGGAUUUAUGGAUUGGGACCCUAGUCUCACAGCAGCAACCAAACAAAUCUUCCUACAUAGCGUGGUUAAUCACUUCACAUUACAUUAGAUUCAUGAGGUUUUCUACAUUUGGUAAUAUAAGCUUGCUAUAGUUUAACAUAUUUUAAAAUAGCUUUUACAACGAUGCUCUUUUAAUUAACACGGCAACAGCUGAUGCUCUUCUGUUUGUCAUUCAUUUUGUGGCACAAGCCAAACCAAGUGAUGAGAAUCACACAGAUUAGCAAAGUAAUUUGAUUACAUACUUUCCUUUUAACUUGUUUGCUAUCGCUAAUGUCUGUAAGUCUUUAAAAAAAAGAAGAAGGAAAUUUGCUCAAAUUAACUGUGAAAUAAUAAAACAAAAGAAGUCCCCAAAACUGGGUAAAUCACUAGUAGGAUCCAGUUUUGCUCCUAUAUGGAUGACUAAGUGUGGACCAAACAAAUAUUACUAAAAAUGCAAUGUUUAUCACAGCAGCGUUCAAAAUGGCUGCAGUGCUGCCAUUCUCUGUGGUGUUUUAGAUCCCACCCUCAGCUUCAUGUACUCACUAAUGGAACAGUUUUGCUCUUAUUAUCCCCACAGGAACCGUGUGGGUAGAACAGUCUCAACUACCACUUGCAGCACUAAACCUAGGGUUGCCAUAUUUCCCAAACUGAAAAUCCAGACAGAGUUGUUGAGCAUUUUUGGGGGGGUGUGGUGGUGAUGGACCCUGCCACCUUCCCAAAGCCUGCCUGACUUUGAGAGGGCUCUUGGAUGCUCCCAUGGCACUGCUUUUCCAAGGAGAGACCUCCCUGCAUCUCCCUUCCCCUCGCUCCAAACUGCGCUGCCUGAAGGUGCCAAGGAAGCCCUCAGAGGGAGAGGGAGUCUGGGAAGCAGGCAAAGGGAGAGAAUGGGAGAGGGAUCCCAGCAGCAGGGAGAGGGAAGGAAAGGAAGAGGGUCUGGAGGAGUAGGAGGAGGAGGAGGAGGAGGAGGAGGCAGAGAGGGUGCUGGGGGGAGGGGAGUCCCUAGCUAGCAGGACCCAUGGUCAGGGAUGAUGAGAGUUGUAGUCCAAAAACAACUGGAGACCCAAGUUUGGGAAACCCUGAUUUAGAUCAAAAACAUUGUUUAAAAUGUAAUUCCAAUAAAAUGAGAUAACUAGCUUCUGGGCUAUUUAAAUAUGCUCCAGCUGAUCUUAUUGAAUCUCAAAACAACUUUCCAUUAAUAUUUUGACUUCCUACAAGCCUCAGUAGAAUAAAAGUCCUGUAUUGGGAGGAUUACUGAAGACACAGGUAAGGGGGUUCAUUAAGAUUCAAGAUGAAAUCUCGGCACAGCCCUAAUGUAUUUGAAAUAAUUUCAGUUGUGAAAAAGCAAUUUGAAUUUGAACAUCCUACUAGAAAGUAAAUCUGUUAUGAUUAGGGGAGAAAUGUGGGAGAGCGCUGAGCACAUAUUACUUGGAUAUUUGAAGCAGAAAUAUUGCUCAAGACAGCAUUAGAACAAAGAUUGUGGAGAGGAGACCUAAUUCCAUGGCAGAGCACAUGUUUUUCAUGUCAAGGUUCUCAAGUUCAACCCCUGACUUCUCCAGAUAGAGAUGGGGAGAAAAAUCCUGGAGAGAUGCUGCUUGUCUGUGGUAGACAACAGUGAACUAGAUGGAUCAAUGGGCUGGUUUGAUAUAAAGAAGAAGAGGAAGAAGAAGUGUUUGGAUUUGAUAUCCCGCUUUAUCACUACCCGAAGGAGUCUCAAAGCGGCUAACAUUCUCCUUUCCCUUCCUUCCCCACAACAAACACUCUGUGAGGUGAGUGGGGCUGAGAGACUUCAGAGAAGUGUGACUAGCCCAAGGUCACCCAGCAGCUGCAUGUGGAGGAGCGGAGACACAAACCCAGUUCCCCAGAUUACGAGUCUAUCGCUCUUAACCACUACACCACACUGGCUCUCCUUGUGUUCCUAUCCCUCUACAAAAUGCACAGGCAAUUUGUCCUGUGUAAACCCACAGAUUCUCAACAUGUGAGAUGAUGUACACUGGCCUUGUUCCUGACCUUAAGCAAUACUGCACUAAGGCUAAGCAUAAGCAGACCUGAAUGCAUGUCACAUGUACAAAGUCUACAGCUUGUAUGUAGCUCAGGUAGAUGGACCAAUCAACAGGGUCAAACAACAAUUCCCAGCAUUCUUUGGUGGAAGGCACGGCUGUAAUGAUAUGCUUUAAAUGUAUACUGCAGAUGAGGUCUAAGUUAUAGAAGGGAUAUUCAAUGUGUCACAAGCCUAGUUUGUAAAGAAGCCUCAUAUUCCUGACUUUAAUAAUAAUGUCACAGAAGGAGGUUUGCAAUAAAGUAUUAUUUUGUGUUAUUGUUUAGUCGUGUCCGACUCUUCGUAACCCCAUGAACCAGAGCACGCCAGGAACUCCUGUCUUCCACUGCCUCCCACAGUUCAGUCAAACUUAUGUUUGUAGCUUCGAGAACACUGUCCAACCAUCUCAUCCUCUGUUGUCCCCUUCUCCUUGUGCCCUCAAUCUUUCCCAAUAUCAGAGUCUUUUCCAGGGAGUCUUCUCUUCUCAUGAGGUGGCCAAAGUAUUGGAGCCUCAGCUUCACGAUCUGUCCUUCCAGUGAGCACUCAGGGCUGAUUUCCUUCAGAAUGGAUAGGUUUGAUCUUCUUGCACUCCAUGGGACUCUCAAGAGUCUCCUCCAGCACCAUAAUUCAAAAGCAUCCCCCCCCCCGCUGAAGAACUGAAAAAAGUAUUAUUUAGCCUCAAGCACAUUGUUCUCCAUGAUGGGUAUUUAGUAUUAUAAGUGCUCAUUAGCAUGACAUGGUUUUGUGUUCCUUAAAAUUAAGGACAUUCAUGGGCUUCUUGGACCAACAUCAGGUAAAUUCCAGAAUACAUUCCCCUGAAAACUAAAUGAAAAGUCUGAAGUCUUGAGGUGUUUUUAGAAGCAACAAAGCAUAUAUGCCAUGAUAUGCUUAUUAAGUUUGAUGGGGCAUUUUAAUUUCCUCCCUAUUGUUUAAAAAAGGAGGCAAAUACCAAGCAAAUUGUUCAUUCAGUUUCUCUUGAGGUAUUUUCUACAUUUUGUUUUUAUGGUACUUGAGUGUUACCAUUCACUGUACAGUGGUACCUCGGGUUACAGAUGCUUCAGGUUACAUACGCUUCAGGUUACAGACGCCGCUAAUCCAGAAAUAGUACCUCAGGUUAAGAACUUUGCUUCAGGAUGAGAACAGAAAUCAUGCUCUGGCGGCGCGGCAGCAGCAGGAGGCCCCAUUAGAGGUACCACUGUACCUGUGAAUAGCUGGGGCAGAACAGUCCCACAACUGACCCCCUGGCUCUGAGCCUUCUUCCCUUCCUCUGCAUCCAACCAGUCCAUGACAGUUAAUAUUUACAUGUGCUUCCAGUCCCAGAUGAAUAAUCACUUGGCUUCCAUAACAUGUUCUAAAAGUGUUCAUUUAUAUUUUAUACCUACAUAAUGUCCACUUAAUGAACAUAAACGCACAAAUUACAAGAACCACAAGUAGAUGAUCAGUCCAACUCUGGAGCUUUUUUUAGACAUUAAUAAAAGUUGUCAGCAUUUACCAAGUUUUAUACAUGCCCCUGCAUUUGCUGCAGCAUAAUGCAAUUUUCUUCAUUUUACCAAAUUGAUUUCACAUUAUGUUCCCUGGAAAGAGGGACUGAUAGUUAAACCACCCUGGAAAUGGUAGCAAUGUGAAAGAUGUGCAGCUUUCAGCACCCUUAAUAAAUUACAGUUCCCAGGAUUCUUUGUGGGAAGCCAUGACUGUUGAAAGUGGUAUAAUACUGCUUUAAAUAUAUAGUGCGGAUGGGGCUUGUUGCGCAGGAAUAUCUGUAUAUCCCCAGCUGUAACUAAGGAUUGUCUGCACAGGAGGGGACAGAUGGUUGGUCCUUGGAGGUCCUAGCAACUGUUUUUGGCUGGAUGGGAGCAAAACGUUCUGCUGUAAACAUCAGGCAAGAUGUGUGGAGCCAAAAACACUUUGUGCACAUUAUUAUGGAGAUCAAAAAAUGGGUGAGGUAGGAUUAGUUUCACUGUCUUUCCUCUGCCCUCAUGGGCAUUCAGUAUAACUUCUAAAAUAACCCACUAGUGGAGGAAGAGGGGUGUGGGGGCAGCGCAAUCCCGGUGGGGUGCCAUCGCGGCUGUCCCCCUGCCCGUGCUGGGCGCCACGCCCCUGCAGGCAAUGUGCCGCGCCCCCUCCUGCUCUCCGCUUCCUGGUGCUGGAGCAUGAAGCUCUGCCACUGAAAGAAGCUUUCUGUGAACAAAUGCUGGUCUAUCUCAGUGUGGGAUCAUGGCCCUUGUCCCCCCCUGCCCCGUCUUGCGCAGACAGAGACUGCAAUCACAUAGACUGUAUAGGACCAGGUUCUUUCAGAAUUUAUGCCCAACACACAUAAACAGUGGCAGAAAGGAUGGCAGGGAGUGUAAUCGUACUCCCCUAUUCUAUGUGUGCUUGUUACAUAUAAAGAGGGCUUCCUGGUCUGAUGGCUCCAUUUUGUAACUUUAGACCUUCCUUAAACAUGUUGUAACAGGAAGGGGGAUGAGUCACUGCAGGGUGGCUAUUUUCCAUGGCCUCUUCAUGGGAAACUAAUGCGUUCUCCAGCUUUAAAAGGAUGGUCACUGAGUGUUUGGCUAAGCAGUUAGGAUGCCAGGUUCUCAUUCAUGGGCUGAAUGCCUCUCUAGCUAACAACAGCCAUCCACAUAAUUGAGUAACAGAGAACAACAUGUCAAUCCUUUCUGUGCCUCAGUCAGUUGACAUUUACUGAGACUAGAAAGGAAGUCACAGUAUGGAACUAAUAAGCUUGUUGGGAAAGAAAGACUGCAGCGACUCUUGAUGAGGAUCUGUAAAACUCCUUGAUUUAUUCUCCAUGGCUCAUCAAAGGCUCUAAUUCUUCUGCACUGUUCCCCCACAAAAUCCAAUUACAGCUUUUUCACCUUUCCCAGGACAAGGGAAGCCUAACUGUUUCUGAUUUCAGAAUAAUAUUGUAUAAGAGCUAGCCAGCUAUCUAUCAAUAAAAACACAAAUUAAAGGAAGAAAUGGCACAAUGGCUCAUAGGGAAGAUGGGGCUAUAGCUUCAUAUUUCAUGGGGUCCUCAAGAGCACAUUCUUCCGGUGCUAUACCAGCUGCACUGGCUCCCGGUGGAGUACAGGAUCAGGUUUAAGGUGCUCGUUUAAACCUUUAAAGCCCUAUAUGGCCUAGGACCCUCGUACCUAUGGGACCGCCUCUCCUGGUAUACCUCACGGAGGACCUUAAUGUCUGUAAAUAAUAACACCCUGAAGAUCCCAGGCCCCAGGGAGAUUAGACUGGCCUUGAACAGAGCCAGGGUGUUUUCGGCUGUGGCCCCGACCUGGUGGAAUGCUCUCUCACAAAAGACUAGGAUUUGACAUCUUUCCACAGGACCUGCAAGAUGGAGCUGUUCCGCCAGGCCUUUGGUUGGGAUUCAGUCUGAUUCUCCUGGCCUGGAUGUUGAGGGAUCUUACUGAGGGGAAGGGGCAAGAAAGUGCUUCAGGGAGGAGCUGCUCUUUGUCAAAACAAGCACAGCCAGAAUAAUCACAAACACUGGCAACUUCUGUUUGAGUCUGCAUUCCAUUCUCCCUGCCCAUUCCCUUUUCUACAUUUAGAUUUUGAGCCUCAUAGCAGGUACCACUUUAGAACUAAUUUUUGUAACCCUUUCUAAAAGCCUCCCCCCCCAAAGGGUUGGGUAUAAAUACCAUAAAUGAAUAAUAACAGAAUACAGUAGUAAAAUUCUCCAUUGUUUUCGGAUCAAGGUUGCUGCUUACCCUACUUAACCUUAUUGCGGUGCCUAAGGUUUUUCCAUUUUUUCUUGGCUUUGACUUUUUUUUAAAAGCCCUGCUCCGAUCACAGUGGUUCAAUGCACUCUCUUUAGCUUCCAGCUGGCUAUACUUCUUUGAGUGCCUUGGGACUACUGCCACAUCACCCAUUUUUUAAAACAGUUCCUUCAUUGAUUAAAGCUGCUGUCCUGUUAGACACUUACCUGGGAUUAAGCCCCACUGAAGUUAAUGGGGUCUACUUCUGAGAUCCACGAUUACUCUGGAAAAGCAAAAGAUGCAGAGUUAUAUUUCCAGCAAUGGUGUUUAUUUUCAAGCUGGGUUGGAAAAUGCCCUCAGUAAACAGGGGAAUGUUUUCCUAUAUAUUGUAGGGAAUGCAUAUUUAACAACAUUGCCUGUAUUAAAAUUAAAAUACUGAAAAGGGCACAUUAAUUUUCACAAUCCAAAUCCUUUCACUUGAUUUUUCUAUGGAAGAAGGAAACAGUGGAAGCUCCAGUCUUUGAGGAAAACUGAAUUAUUCUGAGUCUCCCAAAGCCUCCAGCAGAAAUGAUUCAUGCAAUCAAUCUUACUAGAUACAUUAUUCUUUCUGAAAUUCUUUUAGAACCUCUCUCGGUCAUAAAUCUAACAGGCCUAUUUGGGCAGUUGCUAACAUCUUAAAGAGAUAAUGUUGAUUUCCUCAAAUGAUCAGCUCUUAAGAGCAACCAUGCAACAUUUAUUAUAAUAAAUGACUUAAUAGUUCCCCUUUCUAAAUUUGCAGAUAAUUUAAUCUGUAUUUUAGCUUCAUGAUUCCAUGGUUGAUAGCUCAGUCCAAGUUUUAAAAGUUUUCUGGCAAAUAAAAUAAAACUUUAAAUGACACAGGGCAUUAUGGAGUUUGGUUUGAUCUGAAAACUUGCAUGUGAUUAGAACCCAAAGUGCUAUAUUCAACUGUUAAGAAUACUUUAUGAAGUUAAUUUUGCAGGUAGCUCCUCUAUCUUUGUAGGUCAGGACAUCCUGCAUGUGCAGUCAGUCCCUUGAGCAUGUGUUUUCUUGAUGGAUUUGGUCUGCAUUCACCAAUAUAACAUGCUGCAUGGUGGGAAAAACUCAUUUAAGACCCAGUGCUCACAUUGGUGCAAGGCUCCUACGGCUGAAUCCCCAUUGCAUAUAUCCCAACAGAUGAACGUGCAUGUUAACUUUGACGGCACCUAUCUUUUUUUCUUGUUCUUUUUUGGAGAAUGGAGAGGUUGAAUCCAUCUCUUUAUUUCUCACCAGGGAAUCAGUGUCAUCAGAGCUGACAGCACCUGCAAGCUGCCACAUGUGCAGAUCCUUAGGUGCCUUCGUAAAAUAGGUUUUGUGAUACUGAUAGUCCAAUCUUGUGCAUGGUUACUUGGAAGUAAGUUUUACGGUAUUCAACAAGACUUACUCCCAGGAAAACGAGCACUGUGUUGCAGCUGGAAUCAUUAUUUGUUUGGAGCAAUAAUAUCUAAACUUAAAUUCAGAAUUGCUAUCUAAACACUGAAUUAACCACCAUAAACUGCCACUCUGUUUUUGAUUGUAUGUACACCAUAAAUUUAAGCUCAUCCCUCCCCUGAAAAAGAAUCUUGGGAACUGUAGUUUACCCUCAACAGAGCUACAAUUCCCAGCACUCUUUUUUUUUUUUAAAAAAUAAUAUUUAUUGCUUUUAAACCUUACAAAAAGAAGAAAGAAAAAGAAAAAAGAAAAGAAGAAAAAGAAAAGAAAAAACAAUACACUACAAUAUAUAAACAAUACAGAAUGCAACAUUAACAUUAACACAUUAAACAAAACAAAAGCAAAAACAAUUCAAAAACCACACAUCAUACCAUCUCAAUAUCCUCUCUUUCAUUCCCUUGUUUCAUCGACCUCUUCUCACCUCCCUUUUUGUAUUCCAUUUCUAUUAAUUGUUUCAGCAAAUCCUUUCCAUCUUUCUCUAUUUUCUGUCCUGUAAUUAUCUUAACAUAUUUUAACCUUAUUUUCCAUUAAUACUGUAAUACUUAUUUAUACUUAAUUCCUUAAAAUAUUUCUACUAAAGCCGUAUAAUUCCCUUCCAACAUUUUUCUAACACUCAUUAAUUUUACAUUAUUUCCAUAUAUAAAUUUUAAACUUUUUCCAAUAUUCUUCCACCGUCUCUUCUGCCUGGUCUCGGGUUCUGCCAGUCAUUUCCGUCAAUUCCAUAUAGCCCAUCAACCUGGUGAUCUUCUGUCCGAGGCUCUUAACUCUUUUCCAGGUCCCUUCUGCAAGUCUUCUUCAUGUUUAUACAUGCACUUUACUUUGCCUUCUCCUGAUCUUGUUCUUAUUUUCCUUCCUUUGAUGCUGAAAAGUAGAUCUCCGGGAAAUUCCCAUCUAGCAAUGUUUUUAUUCCUUCUGGACAAGUCAGCCAAAUCUCCAUAGUUAGAACUGAAAUUCAAAAGAUAUUUCCAGUCGUGUUUCAGAGUUCCUCCAAGUCUGGCAGUCCCCACAACUCCAGUCUCCUCCUGACCCAAGUCCAGGUCCCAAAAGUCAAUAAACCCCUGCAUGAGGGGAUCUAUCCAACUUUCUUUCUCCAAUACAAGUGGGGAUCCAAUCCUAAAAGUCUGACUUUCUCUAAAUUCAGUCUUGGAAGGCAUCAACUUAUAAUCAUCAAAUUGCAUCUGUAAGGCUGGGGCUCUCUCCCUCACCACUUGUGCCACUUUAGGUUCCACAACAAAAACUUUCUCCCCCGCCUUCUCCUCGAUUUGCCAUGUCAAAAUAGAUCCCUGUAUCGAUUCCUGAAUAAUUUCUGUAUUAAUAUUGACUUUUUGUGCCAAAUUAGUCACUUUUUGUUCCAAGUUAUCAAUUUUUAUAGUCCUCGCAUCCGUCUUCUUAUAAAGCUGUUCCAGUGAAUCAUUAAUCUUACAAAAUGCAACCACUAAGGCUUCUUCUGUCAACAUUCUUGAUGAUUCAAGGUCAAUCCCAGAUUCUCACAGUUUUAUCUUGCAGAUGGAAAAUUUCCCCAGCUCAGCUCUUGUAACAAUUUCAAAGGCUUCCUCUAGGGGGAAACAAUUUCUAUUUGUAUCAGUCCUUUUAAGCACAGUUCAAACAAUAAAAUUAGUUUCAAUUUUCAGUUACUUUUAACUCCUUUUUAAACGCAGAAGGAGACAAUGGAAACAAUGUAUUUCUCUUCUUUAACUUACUGUCAGCAGACGAUCUAUUCACAGUCAAUGAGCAUAGAGGACAAUGAUCCCAGAGGACAGGAUCACACUUCAAAAAGACCUUGACAGAUUAGAGAACUGGGCCAAAACAAACAAGAUGAAUUUUAACAGGGAGAAAUGUAAAGUAUUGCACUUGGGCAAAAAAAAUGAGAGGCACAAAUACAAGAUGGGGACACCUGGCUUGAGGGCAGUACAUGUGAAAAGGAUCUAGGAGUCUUGGUUGACCACAAACUUGACAUGAGCCAACAGUGUGACGCGGCAGCUAAAAAGCCAAUGCAAUUCUGGGCUGCAUCAAUAGGAGUAUAGCAUCUAGAUCAAGGGAAGUAAUAGUGCCACUGUAUUCUGCUCUGGUCAGACCUCACCUGGAGUACUGUGUCCAGUUCUGGGCACCACAGUUCAAGAAGGACACUGACAAACUGGAACGUGUCCAGAGGAGGGCAACCAAAAUGGUCAAAGGCCUGGAAACGAUGCCUUAUGAGGAACGGCUAAGAGAGCUGGGCAUGUUUAGCCUGGAGAAGAGGAGGUUAAGGGGUGAUAUGAUAGCCAUGUUCAAAUAUAUAAAAGGAUGUCACAUAGAGGAGGGAGAAAGGUUGUUUUCUGCUGCUCCAGAGAAGCGGACACGGAGCAAUGGAUCCAAACUACAAGAAAGAAGAUUCCACCUAAACAUUAGGAAGAACUUCCUGACAGUAAGAGCUGUUUGACAGUGGAAUUUGCUGCCAAGGAGUGUGGUGGAGUCUCCUUCUUUGGAGGUCUUUAAGCAGAGGCUUGACAACCAUAUGUCAGGAGUGCUCUGAUGGUGUUUCCUGCUUGGCAGGGGGUUGGACUCAAUGGCCCUUGUGAUCUCUUCCAACUCUAUGAUUCUAUGAUUCUAUGAUUCUAUGAUUCUAUAUCCGAAACUUCAAUCUUUCUAGCAGCCCGUUUCCAGGUUCAGAGCGGUGGUAAUUUGACUUUCUUCACUCUCUCCUGCAGGCUUACGCGAUCUUAAGUUUCCCCCCUCUUCUCCUGCUUCCAAGGGGGGUUUGAUGAUUUAACUGAUGGAAGUUUAAUCCUUUAUGAGAGACUUUCCAAGCCUUUAGCUUGCAGCCUCUUUGCUUCAAUCUAUUUACAAAAGGGGAAGGCGGACUUCCUGUUUGAAACCUCCCCGUUUCGGUGCCAAAUUAAGACGUUUAAAAAUCCAAUUUUCCGUUCUACUCACGCGUAGUUGUUUUAAGAUCAAAUUGUCCACAGGAAAAAGUCAGCGCUCUCCGGCAACAGCAAUGCGGCUUCACUCCGUGAAAGAAGCAGUUGAUUCGAAGCACCGCGCCACUCACCCCACGUCACUCCGGAUCUCCGAAACCGGGUUUCCCCGUGAGUAGGGGAGGCGCAAAAGGUGCCAGCCGAAUCCUACGUCCACAAGCUUCUCCCGCCUGUGGUUUUUAGUGGGUCUCCGCCUUCGCCGUGGCGGCCAGACCCUGAUUUCCACGGAGCGGAUUCCUCCCGAUCAGAGGAAUUCCGCCAUUGCCGGAGGCACUAACCCGGAAUUCCCAGCACUCUUAACAAGCUACAGUUUCCGUUAUUCUUUUUUGGGGGGGUGAGUGGGGAGUCGGUUUAAAUGCACAAUGUGUAUGCAUCAUUAUUUAUAAUUUUUUACUUCUCAUGCACUGAGAUAAGCAUAGCAAGUUCCUUCGGUUUAUAGUUAUGCCUUAUACUCAAAGAAUACAAACACUUCUCAUUUGAAGGACCUUCUACAACAAUCUCAUAAAAUGGUAUUGUUUGCUACAAGAUAAGAAACAGAUGUCAUAAUAGUGUUUGCCGCACAGCUGAAUAUGCUUCCAGAUCUUGGCUCAUUUUGUGAAAAAGGGGAAAGAUGAAUUUUUGGCUGCCGGCUCCUAGAAAUCUUUGGAACACAUACAAUAGGCAUAUUACACACACAUGGGCACAUUCCUAAUGACAGGGCCUUAAGCCCCAAAUUAUGCUACUAUCAGUUAUUAAUUUUCACUCAGCAGCUAAUACAAUACAAUAAAAAGAUGUACAGAUGGUAGCGAUGUCAUAAUAUUCCCUUUGAGGAAUCAAGCUAUGUUGAUCUUAGAAAUAUAUUGCAGAUUAGAAGUCUCUCUUUCCAAAGAACAUGCAAGGGUUCAAACAGGGUAGAGGUCAUGGGUAUGAUUCUGCUGCCACCAGAGACACCAAGCAUGCAACUGCAGGCAUGCUGCUAAUAAGAGGAAAUUUCCAGACAACAAUAUCUGGAGAGCCAGUGUGGUGUAGUGGUUAAGAGUGGUGGACUGGUGAACUGGGUUUGUGUCCCCGCUCCUCCACAUGCAGCUGCUGGGUGACCGUGAGCUAGUCACACUUCUCUGAAGUCUCUCAGCCUCACUCACCUCACAGAGUGUUUGUUGUGGGGGAGGAAGGGAAAGGAGAUUGUUAGCUGCUUUCAGACUCCUUAGGGUAGUGAUAAAUCGGUAUAUCAAAUCCAAACUCUUCUUUUUCUCUUUUAUCUUGUUCUGCAGCUAUUAUUGCUUUUGCCUGAAAAUUGGGUGUGGGGAGUUUCUUCUUAUGGGAAGAAAGCUAGAACUGCCAUGCCCAAUAUUCUUCCAGAACAUUACUGAGUUGGACAGCCAACAGGUUGUUGUGCUGUUCUUAUCACAGUGUAGGAGGAAGCUAUAUAAAUUCUGGUUGUGCUGACAUUUCAGCAAAAUACCCUUAUCACAACAUCAGCUACUGGGCCAGUUCUGGUCUACAAGGCCUCCUCAUAUAGCCUGUUUAGAAUAUAAAACUAGAGUACAACUCAAUAGUUCAAAGUCCAGAUAUUUCUCUCUUUUUACUCCUCAGUUGUUAAAAAGCCCUCUCAUCGCUCCUAAAGGACCAUAAGCCCAGUUUUCCCGAGUCUGAACAUAAUGAGUAUAAUGGUAUGGGGUUGCUUGUGCGUAAGUUGCUGCCUCUCCUGGCUAUGUUGCCUUGUUAAACCUUUCUGUCUGGACAGCCCUUCAAUUCGUGGCUGCCUCAGUCGCUAGCAGAAUCCGUCAGUGGGCGUUUCUUAAACCUUUUCCAACAUAAAAGUUGUUUGACACCCAGUCUCCUCCUACUUUCUCUGCGCGGAAGUCUCCUGCGCAGGGAGGGCAUGGGUAGCGGAGGACCAGUGCUCUCCCCGCUGGUGUCCGGUGAAGAGUCUGGGAGCCCUCUCUCCGAUUCCCCAUCUGCCCCUCCUUAUUCCUGGUGUUGCACUGAAUUGCUUCCCCAUCUGCUGAGCUGCCUCUCUCCCUGCUGGGCCCUUCUCCAGCAUCAUUAGAGAGCCUCCCCUCCACCUCUAGCUCCGAUGUCAGUUCCCUGACAAUGAGUAACCACGGUUCGUUGGAAAUUGAAGCGAAAACCUCCCAAUCUCAUUUUUGCAGCAGUGCUUUAGGAGGAAACAGCCUGAGGCUGCUUGUGCAAGUAGCACCAUGCUAUGGUUCAGCAUUAAAUGUGACUGCAGGCAAUGUUUUAUCUCUAGGCAAUAUACCUAGAAUACAAAUGGUUUUACAUUUGGAUGUUAUUAUUUCAGAGUGGGUGCUUUUAUGUAUCAAUAUUCUUGUACGGUAAGACAAUUAGCUAUCCAGAUGCUUGAUGGAGAGGAUGGAUUAUAAUUAAAUCUACUAAAAAUAUAUAUCCCUUGAGUAAAACUGCUAUUGCUCAGCUUGGUGUGCCCACAAUUGACUCAAAAUAUAUAAAUCCUCUUUCUAAAACUAUCCAGUCACUGAACGUCACUUUCGAUCCUUCAUUUGCAUACAAACUAUCCAAUCACUGAACGUCACUUUCGAUUCUUCAUUUGCAUAACUAUCUACAGUAUCCCCCUGCUGGCCCAGGGUGAGAACUUCAGUACAUAACAGAAGUCACAACACAUUUGAAUGAGUUUGUUGGGGGCGCAAGAAACCACUUCGGGGACAUGUGCGGUGUGUGAGCUAGCCACCAUCAUUAAAGGUAAAGGUAAAGGGACCCCUGACUCUGGGGUUGCAGCGCUCAUCUCGCUUUAUUGGCCGAGGGAGCUGGCGUACAGCUUCCGGGUCAUGUGGCCAGCAUGACUAAGCCGCUUCUGGCGAACCAGAGCAGUGCGCGGAAACGCCGUUUACCUUCCCGCUGGAGCGGUACCUAUUUAUCUACUAGCACUUUGACGUGCUUUCAAACUGCUGGGUUGGCAGGAGCAGGGACCGAGCAACGGGAGCUCACCCCGUCACGGGGAUUCAAACCGCCGACCUUCUGAUCGGCAAGUCCUAGGCUCUGUGGUUUAACCCACAGCACCACCCGCGUCCCAUUCAUUACAGACAUACAAAAGAAGCUGGUGCUUGCAAUCCUUAAGCAUGGCCAAAAGGAACCACUCACAAAAGCCUGGAAGAAAAUUGUUUUGGUGCUGUCUUGCACAGUACUUUGGAUACUUCCCCAAGUUUACUUCUGACUCUCUUCCCCUUUCACACAGACCCCUUAAAAAUAAAUCUACACUUACAGACUUAAAGCCUAUUCACUCUGCAAUCCUCAGAGCAGCCUUUCCCAACUCUGAAACCUCCUGAUGUUGUUGGAUUACAACUUCUAUCAUCCCUGACCAUAGGCCAUGUUGGCUUGGCCUUAUAGGAGCUGGGAGCACAGCGACACCCGGAAAGCACCAGGUUGGAGGAGGCUGGCUUAGAGUAAUAGAACAAGGCAGUGGCUGCAGCUUUUACUGAACAAGCUGCUCAGAUUUAUGCUGGUAGGACUCCCUUAUUGUAGUUGGUGUUGAAGUAAAGUCAAGCGAAACAUUUUUAUCCCUGAGCUACAAAGCUCUACUCGCUUGAUAAACUGAGGACACAGUCUCUGUAUUAACAGCUCCAGCACUGCCAGGCUCAAACCUUUGAAGAUUCCCAGAGAUGGUUGAAAAUGGAUGCAAGAUGACAGAAGGUCACUGAGAGGGGAAAGGAAAGGAGAUGGGAGGAAAAUGGAGUGGCCUGAAUAAGAAAGCAACGCUCAAAAACCAAUUACAAGCUACUUUUGGAUUCCAAACAAGUUCUCAUCACAGAGGAAUACCAAAUGUUUCACUUUCCUUCCUGUCAAGAUUAAAUUUUAUAUAAACUUAAAAAAA